UACAGAGGGGGCAAGCGUUAUUCGGAAUUAUUGGGCGUAAAGGGCGCGUAGGCGGCCAUUCAAGUGACGGGUGAAAGCCCUCGGCUUAACCGAGGAACUGCCUGUCAGACUGGAUGGCUCGAGACCGGGAGAGGUGAGUGGAAUUCCCAGUGUAGAGGUGAAAUUCGUAGAUAUUGGGAAGAACACCAGUGGCGAAGGCGGCUCACUGGCUCGUUUCUGACGCUGUAGCGCGAAAGCGUGGGGAUCAAACAGG
rnacentral:rRNA from 1 species